GACGAACGCUGGCGGCGGGCUUAACACAUGCAAGUCGAACGGAAACGCCCUGCUUUUGUGGUGUGCUCGAGUGGCGAACGGGUGAGUAACACGUGAGUAACCUGCCCUUGACUUUGGGAUAACUUCAGGAAACUGGGGCUAAUACCGGAUAGGAUCUCCUGCUGCAUGGUGGGGGGUGGAAAGUUUCGGCGGUUGGGGAUGGACGCGCGGCUUAUCAGCUUGUUGGUGGGGGAGUGGCUUACCAAGGCUUUGACGGGUAGCCGGCCUGGGAGGGUGACCGGCGACAUUGGGACUGCGAUACGGCCCAGACUCCUACGGGAGACAGCAGUGGCGAAUAUUGCCCAAUGGGCGGAAGCCUGAUGCAGCAACGCCGCGUGCGGGAUGACGGCCUUCGGGUUGUAAACCGCUUUCGCCUGUGACGCAGCGGGAGUGACGGUAAUGGGUAAAGAAGCACCGGCUAACUACGUG
rnacentral:rRNA from 1 species